rnacentral:rRNA from 1 species
UACGUAGGGUGCAAGCGUUAAUCGGAAUUACUGGGCGUAAAGCGUGCGCAGGCGGUUUUGUAAGUCUGUCGUGAAAGCCCCGGGCUCAACCUGGGAAUUGCGAUGGAGACUGCAAGGCUUGAAUCUGGCAGAGGGGGUAGAAUUCCACGUGUAGCAGUGAAAUGCGUAGAGAUGUGGAGGAACACCGAUGGCGAAGGCAGCCCCCUGGGUCAAGAUUGACGCUCAUGCACGAAAGCGUGGGGAGCAAACAGG